rnacentral:rRNA from 1 species
UACGUAGGGUGCAAGCGUUGUCCGGAAUUAUUGGGCGUAAAGAGCUCGUAGGCGGUCUGUCGCGUCGGCUGUGAAAACCCGGAGCUCAACUCCGGGCCUGCAGUCGAUACGGGCAAACUGGAGUACUGCAGGGGAGACUGGAAUUCCUGGUGUAGCGGUGAAAUGCGUAGAUAUCAGGAGGAACACCGGUGGUGUAGACGGCUCUCUGGACCGUAACUGACGCUGAGGCACGAAAGCGUGGGUAGCAAACAGG